AUGAACCAUUGAAAGAAUAACAGAUCAGACUCCUACGUGCUUUAUUUUGGAGCAGUUCCAAAUGGGAGUGGGUGUGGAGGAAAACAGACAAAAACAACAAUGGAAUUUGGACACAAGUCUGGGGAGAUCAUCAUCUGAGAUUUGGCAAUGCUGAAGGAACAGCCACAGGAAAUGGAGAGGCCAUCUGGCAGUCAGUCAACAGGAGGACUAUAUGUGCAGCUGACAGAUAAAUCAGGACACAAUAGCAGAUAAGG